UUUAACAAUGUCGUAUGUAACUUUAGAGACGGUCCCUUAAUUUCCGCAUACCCGCGAGUAUUGAACGUCCAACGUCAAGCCAACUUUAUUCCAGUGACGUACAUUUCAUUAUGACGCCAAAUUGCGACCAAGAGAGAUGGAUCAUACCACUCUGUUUGGGGAUUUUUGUGUGUGUUCGUUUUUAACAUUACUUAACAUGAAUAAACACUGUAGUGCUUAUAGAAGUCAAACUUAAUUUAAAGUUCAAUUAAUUAGCGGGGAAGUUUUAAUUUGAACUACGCUGGAUAGAACACACGCCACUAUAAAACACCCCCCCCCCCCCCCCAGGGUGAAUGGUAGCGUCCGUUAUUUUAAAAACUCCAGUGUGGCUCUGGGAGGCUAGUAGGGUUGGGCGAUCUGAUACCAGGCCUCUCCUACCUCAUGAACUGAGGUGUUCCACCUGUAUGGCCGAGGCCUCCACUGUGAUGCACAGGUCUUUGUGAGAGGACAGAUCAGACACGCUGACUGUUUUGUACGAAACGUCUGCCGCUGUCACUGGUUUGUACUGCUGCAGGUCAAAUACACAUGGCACUCCCUCUGGCUGUUGGUAAGCGUUGGUCCUCUCAGCACGACCUGCUGCAGCUCCUUCCGCACCUCCUCCUGCACUUCCUCCUCCAGCACCUCCUCCCCCUGCGGGGCUGUGGCUCUGCUGAGCUCCCGAGGGCGGAGUGGGUACCAGGUCCGGAGAGUGUUUCCGCAUGUGCUUUAUCAGUGGAUACAUGACGUCGAGACCCAUCUUUUCACACUGAGGACGACUGAGGGACUCGUACACCACGACUAUUACAUAAGAUUGCUGUCGUACAAGAGGAAUGAAACGCUUUCAGACAGAAGGAUCAUCACACCAUGCUGUCGUCGAUCGUCACCGAUAACAGCACGCACCCGGUCAAGUUUGAUUCCUUACUUUAUAACUCAUUCUAAUCUUCUGAACCGGUACAUUUAUUAAAAAAAAAAAAAAAGAGACCUACCUGUCCAGCCAGGUGACUGAGCAUCAGCGAGUCACUUCCUGUCGGGGAGCCCACCAACGGGAGUGUGGCCUUCUUCUUCCUCCCUCGCUUUGAUGGUAACGGGAUGACGACGGGGGAGCAGGACAUGCCAUCGUCUUUCUUGUCUGAGAGAAGUAUUAAAAGUAUUCAUUUGAAUGAAUACUAAAGAAGCGGAACAUUAUUGUUGCAGUUUUUUUGUUGUUGUUGUUGUUGUUGUGUGGCUUCUCUUUCAGAUUAUGAGCAGAACAUAACACGGUGUUACCUGCGUGCACUGUUAUCAUAGUGGUUGUCGGAUGCCCAGGGAUUAGAGAUGGAGCGGAGGAUACCGGAGACACCAGAGUGACUAAGCCCGCUGAACAAACAGGGUUGUGCCAUAUCGUAUCGUCCAUGAUAUACUGGUACAGUUCCUCCCCACGAUAAGGAUCUGUCGUCUCACUGAUGACGUGUUUACGCGCCGCAACGUGGGCACGGAGAACGAGAACAAGCACGGCAGAUGGCGGAGUUCGAGCUCUAGAUGAGGAAGAAGAAUUCACCUGUGAAAAAGGAGCUUCCUCAGUAAUAUGGGAAGCGGUCUGGACACAGCACUCUCACUCGUAUUUCCUGGGGUUAGAUUAUGAAUCCUGCGAGUACUGGAGUUUGCAUUUUCAAUGGAAUUUUAAUUUGUGAAUAAAAUACAUGUUCUACUUUUUUUGCCUAUUAAUUGGUAUAGUUUAGUAAUUGAUGAGGAGCAGGAUUAAGUUGUACUUCUUUGGAUUAAUGCUUGGAUCAAGGCUCUCAAGACUGUAUGCUGAUGUGACUUUUGGCCAAUUUUAUUUUUUAUUAUAUUUUAUAUUAUAUUACACACACACACACACACACACACACACACACACAUCGUCAUCUAGGUCACUACCGCAAAAAAAAAAAAAAAAAAGUAUCGUGAUUAUAAUUAAGUCUAUCUUGCUCAUCCCUACCUCAGUGCUGCCAAUCCGACCUCACAAUUCUUUUAAAUAGAUUAAA